rnacentral:rRNA from 1 species
GAGUUUGAUCCUGGCUCAGAAUGAACGCUGGCGGCAUGCCUAACACAUGCAAGUCGAACGAAGGCUUCGGCCUUAGUGGCGCACGGGUGCGUAACGCGUGGGAAUCUGCCCCUUGGUUCGGAAUAAUAGUGAGAAAUUACUGCUAAUACCGGAUGAUGACGAAAGUCCAAAGAUUUAUCGCCGAGGGAUGAGCCCGCGUAGGAUUAGCUAGUUGGUGUGGUAAAGGCGCACCAAGGCGACGAUCCUUAGCUGGUCUGAGAGGAUGAUCAGCCACACUGGGACUGAGACACGGCCCAGACUCCUACGGGGCGCAGCAGA